UGUAAAUUAUACGCUUUCGUUUAAUAUUUACUUUAUAGAAAUGGUUUAGCGUCGUCAGAAAAAGUCCGUUAGCAUCUCAAAGGUAAGGCUAAAUACAAGAGGUAACGAUAGACAUGAGCUCUUGUUUAUUAAGUUUGGGCUUUUAAUGUCAUCUUGUGUGUAGAUGAGCUCUCUCUGUCUCUCUCUCUCUCUCUCCAUAUAUAUCAAUGGAUGAAUGGAAGUAACUUAACCGAAUUAAUUUAACCUUAAAAGUAUCCACUGUUUAAUCCUAAAAUGUGCACUAACGUAACCGGAUAACGUUACAUCACUUACAUAGAGCGUGAAAAUGGACUGAAACCUUCAGGUUUUGAUCUUUCAUGGUAAACACAUAAAUACAAACUUGUUCUGUGAUUUCAGAAGUGCCAGAAAAAAACCUCUAUGACACAGGAGAAGUUCCUGCUUUUAACAUUUCUGAAGGGAGCUGCUGACAGAGAGGAUGAAAACAUACACAUUUUGAUGUCCACGCUGUAGGAGCAUUACUAAAUAAUGCUUAUGUUCCUAGGUUCUUCCAUGCUGAUGGCUGUGCUCUAGUCAUAUCUCCUGUCGAAGAACAUUUUUAGACAUUAUGAACCAUGAAUAAGUUUAGCUCCAACCCCAGUUAAGCAGACCUGAGCAGCUG